UACAGAGGUGGCAAGCGUUGUUCGGAAUUACUGGGCGUAAAGGGCGCGUAGGCGGCCCGUCAAGUCCCGUGUGAAAGCCCCCGGCUCAACCGGGGAACUGCACGGGAAACUAGCAGGCUUGAGUUCGGGAGAGGGAAGCGGAAUUUCGGGUGUAGCGGUGAAAUGCGCAGAUAUCCGAAGGAACACCGGUGGCGAAGGCGGCUUCCUGGACCGACACUGACGCUGAGGCGCGAAAGCUAGGGGAGCAAACGGGAUUAGAUACCCCGGUAGUCCUAGCCCUAAACGAUGAGAACUGGGUGUAGGGGGUAUGAACCCCCCCUGUGCCGAAGCUAACGCAUUAAGUUCUCCGCCUGGGGAGUACGGUCGCAAGGCUGAA
rnacentral:rRNA from 1 species